UUAAAAUGGAUCUCGGUUAAAAGGCUAAGCUAAUGUAAAAAAUGCCAAAUGAUUCCUCCCUGCCCUCCCCCCCAAAUUCUCUGAUUCAUUUUUGCCUUGACUUGGGCAGAGGGAAGGGCCAGUGUUCUGCAGAAUUCAGUCUGCUGGCUGGGGAGUCCUGGGCACUGAGGCCCUGAGGACUGUGUGUGUCAGACCUGCAGGACUUCAGGAUCCAUCCCUGGAACAGACCGAGAGGUGACUGAGAGACUGUCGUGUUCUGCUUCAUUCCUGGUGGAACUGGACGGGGGUUUGUGGUCACCAGGGUGCUGCUGUCUCCUCCUUGCUGAGUGAUGAACCUGGAGGGUGGUGCUGGUCCCCAGGGAGAGUCCCUCCCCUUUGCUGCUGACAAGGACCCAAGACUUAUUAAGUCAUUUGGCCUCCUGGGAAGAGUUGUUCCUGUGACAGAGUGGAGAUGACACUGCUGAGCCUCACAGUGUCAUCCCUGUCAGAAGCCAGCCUGGAAAGCCUGGAUCUCCUCCCCUCAAAUUUUACCUCAUUUUUCUGGGCCAGGGGUGAGCUGGCUCAGUGCUGCUGCUCCUGCUCGUGUCCUCUGCAGAGCUUUCCUUGGUCCUCCUCCUCC
rnacentral:lncRNA from 1 species